rnacentral:lncRNA from 10 species
CCUCACGUUCAGGGGUUGUUGUUGUGGCUCAAGCACUUUGACGGGUAGAUGGCACUCAGGUCAGUACCCCUAAAUGGGGAGGCUCUGGCCAGUCACUGCCUUGGCUCUGGGAGCCUGGACUAUAUUUGGAACUCUUAGGGGCCCUGGGUCAUUGUGAAGUCUCCAGCGAGAAAUGAAGAUGGCAUAUGGAAAGGCGAUUCUUAUACUCAGAAGGAAAAGUUCCCAUGGAAGCCAUGGAUUCAUUCAUGACAAAGAUCCCAGCCAUGUUGCCCUCAGUAGCCCUCCCUCCUUGGACUGUGACAGUUUCUCCAUCUUCUUUUGUUUACAUGACCUUGAUCGCUUUGAGGAGUACAGGACCUGCGUUCUAGCUCCCUUGUCGCCCUGAGAAAAGACCAGUGAGUCCUGAUGGAUACCAGUAACAUUGACAGCCGCAAAGGAGUUAAUGUUUGUAUAUACGGCUUGUACUGUAGUCUUAUAGUGAACAAAACUCACUGUUACAUAGUUGCCUAUGUGAGUUCCACUUCCCCUGAUCCGUGGUCUGAAGCUCUACCACUUUUUUUCUCAUUCUCACCCAAGAGGGGCAGCUGAAAUGAAACCCACCGUCAUCAACCAGGAACUGAACUCUCAAAAGAAAUGAAGAAUCCAGGGGCAACGGCAGUCUCGCUAUUCAUUAAUGGGUUUAUUGAGAACUCUCUUGACAUUGAGCUGUAACUACAACAUUUAAGAAAAUCUCAAAUUUGAAAAUAAAUAAGUUGGCUGACAUACAGACAUUUUAC